CGGCGGAAGCGGAAGCGGCGCGCGCCCGCCCCGGCGUGUCACCACCGCGGGUCACCUGGGAGUCCUGUGAGUGCACUGCUGAGGUCGCCUGGGAGCCCCGCGGGUCACCGCCGAGGUCACCUGGGAGCCCCGCGUGUCACCGCCGCGGUCAUCGGGGAGCCCCGGGGCUCACCAACGAGGUCACCUGGGAGCCCAGCGUGUCACCACCGCGGUCACCUGGGAUCCCCGCGGGUCACCGCCGCGGUCACCUGGGAGCCCUGUGAGUGUAUCACACAGGUCACCUAGAAAUUAGUGUCACCGCCGAGGUCACCUAGAAAUUCGUGUCAUCGCCGAGGUCCCCUGGGAGCCCCGCGGGUGCCGCACAAGUGCCCCCGCCCCUCCCCCUGGUUCCGGGUCUCCACGCCCUCCUGGUUUGCGGGCAGCCGCGGAGCCGCGAGUGGACCGAGCGAGUGCAGCUGCCUCCGCGGGGCCGCGCCUGGCCGCCGCCUCCCUUUACCUCCGGCCGCACCGUGGCAGGUGCAGAAGCUGCAGAGGCCGCAGCAGCCCAGCGCGCCCCCUCCGCGUGGCCGCAUGCCACCCGCGCCGCGCCCAGCAUUCCAGCGUCCAACAGAGCAUGCGUGCAGCAUUCCAGCAUCCGGCAACAAUGCACCAGCAUUCCAGCAUCCAACAGAGCAUGCAUGCACCAUUCCAGCAUCCGGCAACAUGUGUGUCCCCCCAACAUCCCGGUGUCCAGUGGCACAUAUGCACCUGGACGUUCCAGUGUGGUGACCUUUCAGGCACGGAGCAAGGCCAAAGGGAUAAAAAGAUAAAGGUGAUGCAGUACUCCCCCUUAUAGUGCCCACAGGUCUGCACAGGCCAGACAGAUCUGGAAAUAAAUAAUUCAUAAUAAAAAAUAAUUACAGAAUAAGAGGUAUAAAAACCACAGAUAGAAAGUAUUGAGUAAAUCUGUAAGAAAUGGCUGCUUUGUUUUUCUUUUUGUUUAACAUGAGAAACGUAUUGAGUAUCAGCAGUUUCACUUAGUUCUACAGAAUCUCUUUGGAGCCCAGUGAAAGGAGAACUCUGGAAAGGCCUCGGACUGCCCAGGGUGCCUACGGCUGCACAAUUGCUACCUCCUGUCUACACAUGGUCUGCAAAAAGUGCCCUCAAAUGGGUCUGCUCCUAACCCAUUCCCUGUCAGUUCAGGGAACCUUCACCACUCCCCAUUCCCCACCGCCCCCCCGACCCCAACUCUGCCCCUCCAGCUUCAGGGAAAGCCUGUCAUCAGGCAGAAGGGUCCUGAAAUGCAAGCCCUGCCCUUUCCACUGGUCUAAGGCACAACAACCUCCCUGGUCCUCAGCCCACACGGCCCCAGGCCACACUCCCUCUGAGCACCUGCCCUUUUCUCCCGGCCGUUCUCCUGGCACGCAGGUGCCCUCCAGCCUGCCCAGCCUUGGGCUGCGUCAGGAUCUACCAAGGGCUUGUUAAGCUCACACGGCUGGGCUCUGAUAGCUCCUUGCUGAUCCAGGAGAUCUGGGGUGGGGCCCGAGGAUGUGCAUUUCUAGCAAAAUUCCCUGGGAUGUUGAAUGUGCUGGUCCACACUUUGAGAACCCCUGCUGAAAUCUGUUGCAUCUUAAAAGCAAGAUGAAAGGAAAGGGCCACACCCUCUGGCCCAUCCCGCUUCUCUGAUCUCCCUCUUCACCCCUUGGGCAUUUCCACACAUGCUACUGACUUCUUUCCUCAACCCUGUGCCAUCCACUCUGUCCCCUGGCCAACAUCCUCUGGCUGGCACCACGUCAUGUUGGGUGGAGACCCUUGGUCUCUGUGGUUGUUGGCUUUAUUACUUGUCAACUUGGCUGGGCCACCGUGCCCAGAUAUUGGGUCAAAUGCUAGGUUAGAUGUCUCUGUGAAGGUAUGUUUAGAUGAGAUUGGCACUUACAUCAGUAGACUUUGAGUAAGGCGUGUGACAUAACGUGGGUGGGCCUCACCCAAUCCAUCAAGGGCUUUGAGAGAAAAAGACAGAGCUUCCCUGAGGAAGAGGGAGCUCUGCCCCCAGACGGCCUGGACUGCAACCCAACUCUCCCCAGUCCCCAGCUGCCCCUGGCCUGCGGAUUCUGGACCUUCCAACACCCACAAUUUCAGGAGUUGAUUUGUUAAACUAAGUCUCUAGCUCUGUCAAGUCUUUAUUCUGCCUUAAAUUAUAGCACAGAUGAUGCCAUCUUUCCAUAGACAUCAUUUAAUACUUGCCUAAAGAAUGACUGUCACCAUUACACCCGGCAUUAGGGAGCACUGGGCACUCCAGGCACCUGCCAGAGUGCUCCCCAUGCUGUAAACUAUUGGUCUUUACAGAGAGCUGGGAGAAGGCACUGUUUUUCGCAUUUUACAGAAUAUGCAGAGAGGUUCAGCGACUUGCCCCAGGCCAUACAGAGGCACAAAGAUGUAGACCUGUGGUGUCUGCAUCGGGGACGCCUGUAGUGUCGCAAGGGGAAUGGCAUCCACAAAGUUCCCAACAGGCAGACCCAGGACACUUAGGUAAGGUCCCAAGCCGUGUGUCCCAAGGGACGCGCUUCUUUCCAUCCCUGGCUCGGCCUGUCUCCUUGGAACCAGAGGCGCCCCAGGAGGGAGGCUGAAGGUAACGUGACACCUGGAUACCAAACAUCCUCAUAGCGACCUUUCUGGAUGAUCAGCUGCAAAGUGGAGGUGAGAAACGGGAGCUGGAGCAGGCAGGGCCAGGCUCCCAGAGCCAACCCCGAGGCUAGGGGAGCAAGGCUAUGGAGGGGCACAGUAGCCCCGGCCACAGAAGGGCAGGCAUAGAUGUUUUCUGCACAGCCUCACUCCAUGUCUUGGGAGGGGAAUCAGAGAGGGUGGAGACUGGGAAAGGACUGUGAGGAAAUUCACAAGCUCAUUGUGACGGGGAGAGCCCCGUGGGAUAACACCCAGCAUGUCAGGGAUGCACUGCAGCCGUGGCCCCAGAAAUCUGGAAAUGAACCCUCGAUUCCAGACAAUCAGGGCUGGCUCUGAGGUGCAGCGCUGAGCAAGGCUGGUGACUCCUGCCUGCCCAGAGCUCAUGCUGCAGUGGAGGUGACAUGGCACCUGGGUAUGUGACGGCCUCCAUGCGGUGACGGGAGGGCACCUGCUGGCACCUCCCCCUCAGGGGCCAGUGUAACGUGUGAACAGGUCCCUGUGUCCCAGCAGCGAGCAGGUCCUGGUCCACACGCGGACGACUGAAGGACUGCACUUCUGAAGUGGGGGACAGGGAGGGGAGGGGCAGGAGAGGAAGGAAGAGGAGGAGCUGCUGGACUUCUGACUUUUUUUAUGGCUUUGCCCAGCAAGGAAGUCUGCAAUUCACAGUAACAUAAACUAUAAACGCAGAAUCAGUUGAUAAGGACAGUUAGGAGAUGGUCUUUUGGGGAUAAAAUCGGCAGGAUUGCAGACCCGGACUCCAUCAUCUAAAGUUCUCACACACAAGUGACCGUUUCGUUUUGAUGCAUAAAACAAGUAACUUAAUAUGUAUUUUUGUCUGAGUACAAAAUCUUUGUGUUCACUUUGGAAAAUAUAGAAAAUAAAAAUAAAAUAUACUUUAACAGCA